rnacentral:rRNA from 1 species
UACGUAGGGUGCAAGCGUUAAUCGGAAUUACUGGGCGUAAAGCGUGCGCAGGCGGUUUUGUAAGUCUGUCGUGAAAGCCCCGGGCUCAACCUGGGAAUUGCGAUGGAGACUGCAAGGCUUGAAUCUGGCAGAGGGGGGAAGAAUUCCACGUGUAGCAGUGAAAUGCGUAGAGAUGUGGAGGAACACCGAUGGCGAAGGCAGCCCCCUGGGUCAAGAUUGACGCUCAUGCACGAAAGCGUGGGGAGCAAACAGG